rnacentral:rRNA from 1 species
CAAUAGCGUAUAUUAAAGUUGUUGCAGUUAAAAAGCUCGUAGUUGGAUUUUGGGUUCCAGUUCUGUCCGGUUCACUUCGUGUGUUAACUGGCAGGUUGGCCCUUCUUCUCGAGGCGCAUAUGUGUACUUAACCGUACGUUUAUGUUGUCCGGGACUUUUACCGUGAGAAAAUUAGAGUGUUCAAAGCAGGCUAAUGCUUGAAUAUUGCAGCAUGGAAUAAUGGAAUAGGAUCAUGAUUCUAUUUUGUUGGUUUCUAGAAUCAAGAUAAUGAUUAAUAGGGAUAGUUGGGGGCGUUAAUAUUUAGUUGUCAGAGGUGAAAUUCUUAGAUUUACAAAAGAUUAACUUCUGCGAAAGCAUUCGCCAAGGAUGUUUUCGUUAA